AAGUCGUAACAAGGUUUCCGUAGGUGAACCUGCGGAAGGAUCAUUAUUGAAUAAACUUGGUUGGGUUGUUGCUGGCUUUUCGGAGCAUGUGCACGCCUAGCGCCAUUUUUACCACCUGUGCACUUCUUGUAGAUUUGGAACACCUCUCGAGGAAACUCGGUUUGAGGAUUGCUAUGCGAAAGCUAAGCUUUCCUUGCGUUUCAAGUCUAUGUUUUUAUAUACCCCAUAAGAAUGUUUUAGAAUGUCAUUAAUGGGCUUUAUUGCCUCUAAAUUAAUACAA
rnacentral:misc_RNA from 1 species